rnacentral:rRNA from 1 species
CACGUAGGGGCCAAGCGUUGUCCGGAUUUAUUGGGCGUAAAGAGCUCGUAGGCGGUUCGACAAGUCGGGUGUGAAAACUCCGGGCUCAACCCGGAGACGCCACCCGAUACUGUCGUGACUGGAGUCCGGUAGGGGAGUGGGGAAUUCCUGGUGUAGCGGUGGAAUGCGCAGAUAUCAGGAGGAACACCGGUGGCGAAGGCGGGUCUCUGGGCAGUAACUGACGCUGAGGAGCGAAAGCGUGGGGAGCGAACAGG